UACGUAGGGUGCAAGCGUUAAUCGGAAUUACUGGGCGUAAAGCGUGCGCAGGCGGUUGUGUAAGACAGAUGUGAAAUCCCGGGCUCACCUGGGAACUGCUUGUGACUGCACGGCUGGAGUGGCGGCAGAGGGGAUGGAAUUCCGGCGUGUAGCAGUGAAAUGCGUAGAUAUGACGGAGGAACACCAGCGGCGAAGGCGGGUAGCUGGGCCGAACACUGACGCUGAUGUGCGAAGCUAGGGAGCAAACGGG
rnacentral:rRNA from 1 species